GUUUGCAUUUGAUCUCUCUCCUUUUUUCCCCCCUCUGUUCUCCACACUGUGGAGGUGGAGGAAGAGAUUACUAGGAAUGUGUUGUAGGAGCAGGGCAAAACUCCCGGGGACGUGUUUACGUUUGCUCUCUUUUUCUCGGAUUUGUACGCAGUGGCUGUAACCUCCUUUCUGUUGUGUGGAGGGCGUCUGAUGCAUGCAAGCAGAUGUGGUAAGAAAGAAAAAGAACACACAACACAAAGUGUUUUCACACGUUUAGGGAAUUUGGGUUAACUCUUAAGUGCCGAUACCUCCACCAGUCGGUUGGGCGGUCUAUAUUUAUCCGACCUUUCUGAGCAGCCUUCUCGCAUCAGAGAGCAAGAGGUGGCGCAGGAUCUGUGCUCCCAAUUACAGCAGCGAGAGAUAAAACGUGCAGGUUCUGCGACAAAAAAAAGAAAAAGGAAGUCGCUGCGAUGCCGCGAUCAAAGCCACGCAGAAUCCGUGCUCCAUUUUCUGCGAGUGAAAGCCAUCUCUCUGUGCUGCACACAUCUGGAUGGCUUCAUGGGACACUGUGGGGGGUGACCUAAUGCGAGGUCCCACAGGAGAUCCACACACACACACAGUGCAGGUCUGUGUACAUCUGCCAGCUUACACACACUGCUGUCUUUGUCCCUCCCACUCUCACACCCAAUAUUGUUCUCCAGAACUACAAGUCCUCACUGCAUUUUCCACCCAACAUGUAGGAGUGCUGUUUAGCACUUUGAUUAAUACCAAAACAUCUGUUAAAUUUUGGCUAAAUGCUCUAAAAGUACAUGAGUUGAACUAUGUCAGGCUGAACACUUCAUCCAAAAUACGUUGCCGGUCAGUUUGGAUGACUUCAGUUAUUCCUACUCGCUAAUGCUGUAAUAAUAAGAGAAAACAUUUGCUACGAUUUUUGUAAGAAUGUUCUUCUGAUUCUGAGAAUUAUGAAGUGUUACUGCUGCAGAUUGGUUGGACCCAAGAUGGAGGCAAAGUGAGAGGCAAGAAAUAAAACAAGGAUAUUAAAACUUGAGGGGGCAGCUUUAUGCAGACACAUAGUUGCAUUUUAUAGCAUAAAAUCACUAUAUUACCUUCAGUUGUUAUAAAAAUUAUCUAUGUAUCAAAGAAAUUUGACUUAGUAAAUUAACGCCUUUUGUCUCUUUAUGAAGCUCCUGCUCUUUCUGAGACUCCGCCUCCAGGAAGUCACUACAACAUGGUUCCUCUGUUAGCCCUUUAACAACGCUGAAGAAGAUUGGAAGCUUGGAAGCUGCAGCUCAAAAGAGGAGCUUCGUCCUCAAAGGUGGGGCUAGGUCCACCCAGGUGGUUUGCACAGCUAAAAGGUUGCCAUGGAGAUGAAAGGAUUCCUCAUACAUGCAUUAAAGAAUCAGAGGAACACUCCAACAAACAACGCUAACCUACAGUGGGCCUCAACGUGUGGCGAGUGCAUUCAUGGGCACUCCACAGAAACCGCAAAAGCCAGCCGUAGCGCCGAUGGUGCUGGGACACUCGUCUCCAAAGCAUGGAAACCCACAUCACUCACAAUGCUGUGAGGACAAUUCAUGGAACUGCGAGGGGAAGUCCUUUGGAAACGAUUUCUCCCCUUGGCUCAGGUCUACGUGGAGUCAGCGAGGGGAAGUGGAAGGAGUGGCGCAGCGAUUGGUUAGCGUGAUAAAACGACUUCUGAAAGUCCUCCAGCUGAUAAGGCCUCCAGAACAAACACAAUGCGCUAACACUCUGGUCUUCCAACCUCAAACAGCUUUUCCUUGAAUGCUAAAGUGUUCUUUGAGAGGGGCUUCAGCCAAUAUCCCACUUCUCUCCCCCACCUUUUUUCCCCUUUAACAUCUUUCCUCACAUUCCUCCCAUGUUUUUCAAAACCUCAAGCCACCGUCUCAUAUUCUUGCCGCCUCUGAAGGCGUGUUAAAGCAGCAGCAACGCAACCUCUGGCCAUUGGUCUGGCUCUGAAAGGGGUGAUCCAUCUGGCACUUCUCACCAGUUUUCUUAAUAAAUCAGAAACUGGGGUGGGUCACUCUGAAGACACCCUGGGCAGAGGUCAUUACUGGGAAGGUCAGGCAUCGCAGUUUUGUGGUUCCCUUGCAAACAGAAGUGCUCUAUCUCUGGAAGACGGUCACAUAAAACCUUGACUUUAUAACGGUUGGGAAGAGUUGGGGAAAAAAAGGCUAUUAACCUUGACGACAGUACGGUGUAACCUUUUGGCAAGUGGCCACAGAUUCUAUCUGCCCCUGUAAUUAUCCCAUAAACAGCUCAAUAAAUGGGGGAAACGCUAUUGCAGAGAGGUCUAUAAGUGCAGAAAAACAGUACUUUACAUUUUCUAAGCUAUCAGCAGUGACUUGUAGCUGGUUUUAAAUCAACCCUGCUAUCACCCCUGCAGUCGCAUUUCAUCCAGAUCCCUUGAGGUGAUGGUUUCUCCACCCAGUGCCUCGCUAACUGCCGCGUUUCGUAACCGCUCCGUUGCUCCGGCAGUCUGAAACGCACCCAUGGAAAUAAACAAACCUCAAAGAAGCCUGCCACUCCGCGAGGAGACGAAAGCAGAUGACUUGAGAUAGAGAGCAGGGCAUGCUGAAUUUGAAAAGCGAAAUUGAAGCUAGACUCGAGGAGACGGGGACAUUGAGUGAAGUUCAAAGCGAGCCUCUCCUCUCAUUUUUUAUUUUUUUUUUCUGAGCCGUGGCCGGGUGGCAAAGGGCGGAGUGGCAGCUGGAGGAGCGGCGGAGGUAGUUAAAAGCCUAUCCUCUCACCCCUCGGUUGACCUCCCAGUGAAAUUAGCAAAAAAGCAGCUGUGGGCACUGCAGUACACUCCCCACUCCUCAAACGUUGUCCCAAGGGCCUCAACCGGACAUAUACAAACACACUCAGGCUCUCUCUUAGGACGGGAACCUGUAGAUGCACUCGUAACACAUAAGACCCGGAGGUCUUUUUUUUUACCCCUCCCCUCCAUUAUCUCCCACACAAACACGCUCAGAGGAAUAAAAGCACAUGGGUGACCUUUCCGACUAACACCAACUCUUACUUUAUGGGAUUUAAAGGCAGACACUGAAAAGUGGAGUUAAAAACCGUCUUUCUGUCAGGGAGUUUAAGCAGAUUGUCUCAUCUCCCAUAUUCAGAAUGGAAAAAAAUCAGCCGGUAGGUUUUUCUGAAGAGUUAAUCCGUUCAGCAGACGUCACCACAGAGCUGGCUGACUUUGCCUUCAAUGAACCAAUAAUCGGCUCAAUAGCUCCAUGCUAAUGUUACGACAGCUGACAGUUUGAUGUCAUUGUUUCAGAACAUUUUCUGCUUAAAAUGCCCAAUUCCAACUGGAGUAUUUAAUUUAGAAAAAUGGAAUUCUGACUGUUUGCUAUAAAAUGUUUGUUUUAAGGACUACAUGGUGGAGCAGCUGGUUAGCUGUUGCAGAAACAAGGUUCUGGAUUCAGUUUAUAGCCUGGGGUCAUUCUGUAGGGAGUCUGUACUCUCUGUGCAUGUGUGGGUUCCCUCCAGGGACUCCGGCUUUCUCAAAAAACACGAUUGUUGGAUUCAUUUGUGGGGCUGUGCCAGCUGUUUCUCCAAGCUUAGGUACUUGCCAAUUCCAAGUACCAAUACCGAGUAGUUAAUAAGUUUGUACUUAUACAUCAAAAUAGUUUGGAAACAUAUUUUAUGUAGAACAGUGUGGCUGUUCUUCUUUGACAUACGCUGGUGCAUACAUUAGAAUAAAUUACAAAAUAACACAAGUUUAGCUUGAUUCCUUUGUACGUUUUUCUGAAACUAGCAAACAUUUCAAUUAAAAAUGCUAACUGUAACACAUUCAAUUAGCGCCACAUGUCUGGAGACAGAAGAAUUUUACCCUGUUCAACAAGUUUCUGCUGCAACAAACAAAAAGUUGUUCUGUUAUCCUGCUAGCAGCAGCAAUCUUCUUGAACUCGGCUUCGUGUUUCAUCUUCAAAUAACUGAUAUCCAUCAAUAAAAUCUUGCACAACUCAA